UUAAAAAAAUGCUAGUUAUCUAAAGAAAAUGGUGAGAGUGAAUGAGCAGUAAAAUAGACAUGCAAUAAAUUAUAUAACUGCCAGCCCAAAAAGCUGGAACCAAUGCGACAUAGGUACAUAUGCAGUAGGUUCUGGUGGUAUCAUGCCACACGUGCAAAGUACACAUUAUGUAGAUUCACUGCAGACAGAUAAACACAAAAGAAGUGACAUGAUAGAGAAAGGCUAUGCUAGUGCAAAGCUAAUGAAAAUUGAGAUCCAACUCGACUGAAGCUUGUCACCUAGUAGACUCAGGCACCCGCCGUGAGGACAUCGACAACGACUGUCAUCCCGAAUAUCCUCAUGAGCGCUGAUCUUGAAAGUGAUUAGUACAGCUGUUCCAACAUCAACAAUACUUAUUCUUGCUGGAAACUCUCUCCAUUCACUCUUGAAGACGAUGCAGUCAUUAGGGGCGGUGUCAUAUGCAGCUCUACUGUAUAUCGCAUUCCACAAUCCCCUUCUCCCCGCUGUCCAGGCUAAAAGCAACUUUCCUUGAUAAAAGAUAAUACUAAAAAGAGCUGAACAUAAACUAAGAAGCACAUGAAAAAAACAGAAACUGACGAAAACUCAACAAGUAAAAUGAAUUUGGACUUAUAGAAAGGGAUAACUGAUCAUGCUAGAGAAUGACAAAAAGUAACUGAAGAAACUACUUAGUCUUCACAGUACAUCACCUACUCAUGCUGCUCAAUACAAAAUAUGGGCUAAAUAACUUUACUAAAAACUAAAAGAUGAUGAAUCAAUGCUGAAUAAAAACCGCGCAGUGAGUGAGGAAUAUGAACUUCAAGACUGAAAUACUAGAGAAAUUGUAAAGCUUAUAUGCUUAUAUAAAUAAUGAGAUACAAACACUAUUAAAUGAAUAUAAAUGGAUCAGCAAAAUACAGAGGACAAAUAACCGAGUACUGACAUACAAAAACUGAGAAAUUUUCGCCCUCACUGAGAAAUAAUGAUGUAUAUCAAUAAUGAGAUACAAAAACUAAACAACGAGAAAUGAUGAAAUGAUCAAUGGAUAUUAAGUGAGCAAUGACAAAAUGGAGAAAGGACUUAAAAUAAUGACAUACAAAGAAUGAAAAACAGUAAAAACACAAAACCCUCGCUGUUAAAUAAGAAAAUUGUCUACAAAUUAAAAAGAAACUCAAACACUAAGGAAUGAGUGAUAAAAACCUAAAAAGGUAGAUAGACUGAAACAAAGGUAGCUAUGCCUUGAGGCUGAACAAAUCAACUAACAGUGAAGACUGAAGAAAAAUAAUAAAACUGAGAGUUCACAAUAAUGAAUGACUGAAAUAACAGCGGGAAUGAUAACUGAAGACUUCAGGAUGAAAGACAAAGAUAACUAAAAGGAAUGAGUAAGAGUGGGAAAAAAAUGAAGGACUGAAUCUACCCAAUCCAAUGUCUCAAGACAGACAACAACUAGCGCACAAAGAAAUUCUGAAUGACAAGUAAAAUGAAACACUGAUAACUGAAACACAAGACUGAGAAAUGAGUUUAAUAAACUUAAACCUGAGCAAAGACUGAGUGACGGAGCCUAAUGAUAAUAACAAUGAUAACUGAAACUAGAACUGAGAUACUAAAGAAUAAACAAUAAAAAAUGAAAAUACAUAGACAAACUCGUCCAGAAAAACUGAUAAAAUGAAGACUAAUCAAUGAAUAACUGGACUGAAUAACUAGACAAUCCGGAAAAAGAAAAUUGAUGAUUGACAAGAAGACUAAAUGAAGGCUGAGAACUCAAAAGUGAAUAAAUCAGAAUGACUAAGAAAAAGGAUAACUAAGAAAACAUGGGAAAAUAGGGAAUAAUCAAUGAAGAAUGAAGAGUGAUCACUGAAGAAAUGAGUAGCAGGAGAAAGCUACAUAAUAAAACUAAAGUUGUUGCAUCUUCUUGGUUUCAUGCUUGCUGCUUCUUCAUCACAUAUCUGUUCUUGAGUUCACACUAUAUCAGAAAAGACUGAAUCUAUAAAACAUAUGCAGAAUAAGUGAUCGGCUAAAGAUGGAGAACUUAAGCACUAGGGAAAGCUCCCAAAGACUCUUCUAUGCUCCUCCUGAAGACUUAUACUGAUACUAACAAGUUCUCCAUAGUUGCUGGGCCUGAUGGUAAUCUUCAUAGAGGUGUCGACCCUUAGGUUCUUCUCCAUGAAAUCCUUCAACCAUUCUUGAAGCUGAUACGCCAUCCUUGGAGGUCCUGUAAACAGCAGUAAUGAUGUCCCCUGCUCCCAAAACGUAUUCCAAAACUGAUAUGCCAUUUGCUUUGUGACCUCUAUAGUCGUCAUACAUGCAGAUUUGGCACUCCAUCUAUAAGGCACAUGAUGAAUACGGAAAAACUGUUUGUCAGUAUACUGAAAUAAGAAUGAUUGAACUUAAACUCAACAAUGAACUUAACUUGAAGAAGUUUUGCUUUAUAGGAAAACACGGCUAAAAAAUGAUCAACAAUAAAAACAGAAAAUGCAUUGAAAGCUUUAUUAGAGGGCUCUAGGUGAAACAAUAAUGGAACUAAUCAAUUGACUAAAUCUGAUCAACAAGAGGAAAUCACGGAGGCGUUUUCUUUGGGAUAGAACAUAAUUUUUUUUCCAGCUAUCGACAACUAAAAAAUGAACAGACAGAGCUGGCUUUCCUAUUCCCAGAAGAAGAAACUAGACUGCGUAUACAUAACGUAGGCUGACCGUCAGAAAUCUGAUUGUUGGGUAUACCAUAAAAAAAAUCUGAAGCAAAACAUAUCUAAAAAAUCUGUCUUCACACACUAAGAAAAACAUCCACUAGCACGAUGGAAAACAAAAUCGACUAUGCCUGACCAAAAAUUAUAAAACAUGAUCAAAAUGACAAUCUAGACUGACAAAUGGUAGAAGAAUAAAAAUGAAAUAUGUUACAACUUAGCUACUAGUAGCACUUCUAAAACUAAGCAUCAAAAAGGAAUAAUAUCAUAUCGCUAGAAACACUAGAAUAAACAUACUAUAGUGAAAUAAUAACAUAACUCGGGCCUCUAAAUUCUUACAAAUAAACAUACUAUAGUGAAAUUACACUCAGACUAAAAAAGAGAUAUACAUCAAACAAAAAAUAUCUACAGAAAGAUAUAUCACAACCAUUACUAAUCUAACCUAAGAAAGCGAAAUUAAGCUGACAAAAUGAUACUCUACAGUUUCUUCACGGUAGUACUCCUACAGAGAGAGAAAACACAUUCAAUCAGUUACCUGCCUCUCAUCAUCUACAACAUGCCUCGGCUCUCUAGAUUCUUACAAUAAACCAUACAAUACUGAAAUUACACUCAGACUAAAAGGAGAACUAUAUCCAAGACAAAAAAAGGGGCCUCUGAUCAUCUACAUCCACACAGACCUAAGUUAGGACAGAGACAAAAGUCAGUCCCAAUUCUGAUGUUCAGAUCCAAAAAAAUGAUCGGACAGGACACAUUCAGAAGUACAAAGAGAUCAAAACCCUAUUUUCCUUGUUGGGUUUCAUAUUGGGAUCUUGCCACUGCCCAAAAAAUAGGUGCAGUAGGCAGGAUCACAUACACAAAACAGAGCACACUCUCUGUAAUUCUCUGAUCUUCUUAUAGCUAAAUCUUCUUCUUACCCAUGGAGCUUCAGCCCGCCCAUGUUAAUCUUCUUCUCAACAAUUAUGCCCCAGCAACCUUUGCGGCCGCAGCUGUGAACUAAUGGACUGAUCGAUGCACACGCCUACACUGAUCCUGGUGAUGGAUCAGGGACUAACUGAGAAAAAAUCCACACAAACAUGCCUCGGGCCUCUAGAUUCUUACAAUAAACAUACUAUCGUGAAAUUUCACUCGAACUAAAAAGGAGAUCUACAUCCUACAUCAAAGACAACAUCGAGGCGGAAAUUUUGGUGAGGUGAAAAUUGGGGGAAACGAGAGGAGAGGUGCCUGCAGCUAAUACAGGGGCGUUUCUGAUGAACCACUCAAAAACUCCACUGGAAUGACCUAAGCUAUGACACACAAAACCAGCGAACUGAACCGCCCCUGGCCCCUGCGAUGAACGUCUAUGACCCGGCGACAAUCGCGACGAACUGAAUCCGCCCGGCGCAGGAGGGCAAAUACACAUGGGAUGGAAUUCACAGAGCGAGGAUAGCGGGGGACGAAUAAAUACCAUGCGCCCAACUGGCGCCGCCGACUACUGCCGCCUCCACCGACUGGAACUUGCUGGUGGCACGCACGACGGGGCAGCUCCGCCAAGUUCCUCUCCAGGCCAGCAUCUAUCCCACCUGCAGCCCCCUGCGUACAAGCUCUCCUUCCCUGGGGAGACUCGCCGCGCGCCAUCUCCGUUACUAAUCACCGGAGGAUCCCCUCCGCCGUCUCCGCCCCACCUCGGCCAGCUCCCACCGAUCCCCUCCUCAGAUAGAACAAAAGCCGCCG
rnacentral:lncRNA from 1 species